CGAAGCUCGAAAUUUUCAAAGAGUAUAGCAAACAGCUUUGCUGUUACAUCCUGCCCUAUUCGUUAUCAAAGCCAAAUCGAUCACCAUUUUGUUGUUGCAAGAUUAGCUCGAGCCGAAUAUUAGGCGUUGAGCAGGUUGAAUUGGAAAAAGACGUGACGCACAUGGAUACAAUGGUUAUUGUUGCGACAAGUAGCGGCAAAAUUCCACACAGAUAUUCCUUACCAUCUGCGUACAAUAAUUGUUCCCCAUGGGCCUGGGACUGGUGGCUCAGUCAUGGCCAGAAUGACGUUAUCAUAAAAGGAGAGGAGACUGCGCACCAGCAAACAACGAAGACCGUUGACCAAGAGCAGGCCUCUAAAGGCCGCUCCGAAAAUAAACACUUGGGUCUAAACUGAAAGUAGUUUUAUUCCGAGAGAGCUACACUGGCUUGGUAUCUUUAUUUAGGCUGAGAAGUUUUUCCAACAGGGUGAAUUCUUUGUCUGUUGUUGAUGGGCCAUCUUGCCGCUUUCACAGCUCAAAGCACUGUAUAGACGGGUUUUAAUGUAUAACCAUUCCGUGAUACUGGUGCAGUGCUCAAAACAUCAGAAGCACUGAGUUUAGGCUUUGCUCGCACUUCUUUCUUAGAUAUAUCUGCAACUUCAAUGAUCUUCCAUAAUUCAUCUUUGUCCGAUCGAUAUCCUUAUCAAGCUAACCCACACACGUAGUUUCUAUUUGUUUAUCUAUCUUUGUUACACUACUUACGGUUAAACAACUGUUUAGAUAUUGAUUAAAUGUCGGAAGUUAUCUUGUUCUGAAAACAUGAUAUCUUAUAUCUUCCCUAGUGAAGAAAACGAUGUCGUCGUGGUAACUGAGGGUGAAAUCACGGCGGUUUUAUUAAAUUUAAAACGAAGGGUUUUUGUUAAUUUACGAACUUUAGUAAGGUUGAAAUAAAACUGUU